rnacentral:rRNA from 1 species
AACGGCCGUAUUAUGCUGAAUAUACCGGUUCUCGUUAGAUCACCGAAGUCAAGCAUCAUUGGGCGCGGUCAGUACUUGGGUGGGUGACCACCUGGGAUCACCGCGUGCCGUU